rnacentral:rRNA from 1 species
UACGAAGGGGGCUAGCGUUGCUCGGAAUUACUGGGCGUAAAGCGCACGUAGGCGGCUUUCUAAGUCGGGGGUGAAAUCCUGGAGCUCAACUCCAGAACUGCCUUCGAUACUGGAGAGCUCGAGUCCGGGAGAGGGGAGUGGAACUGCGAGUGUAGAGGUGAAAUUCGUAGAUAUUCGCAAGAACACCAGUGGCGAAGGCGGCUCACUGGCCCGGUACUGACGCUGAGGUGCGAAAGCGUGGGGAGCAAACAGG